GGAUCCAGACUUUGAUCAUGGCUCAGGACGAACGCUGGCGGCGCGCCUAACACAUGCAAGUCGAACGAGCGAGAGAGAGCUUGCUUUCUCAAGCGAGUGGCGAACGGGUGAGUAACGCGUGAGGAACCUGCCUCAAAGAGGGGGACAACAGUUGGAAACGACUGCUAAUACCGCAUAAGCCCACGGCUCGGCAUCGAGCAGAGGGAAAAGGAGCAAUCCGCUUUGAGAUGGCCUCGCGUCCGAUUAGCUAGUUGGUGAGGUAACGGCCCACCAAGGCGACGAUCGGUAGCCGGACUGAGAGGUUGAACGGCCACAUUGGGACUGAGACACGGCCCAGACUCCUACGGGAGGCAGCAGUGGGGAAUAUUGCACAAUGGGGGAAACCCUGAUGCAGCGACGCCGCGUGGAGGAAGAAGGUCUUCGGAUUGUAAACUCCUGUUGUUGAGGAAGAUAAUGACGGUACUCAACAAGGAAGUGACGGCUAACUACGUGCCAGCAGCCGCGGUAAAACGUAGGUCACAAGCGUUGUCCGGAAUUACUGGGUGUAAAGGGAGCGCAGGCGGGAAGACAAGUUGGAAGUGAAAUCCAUGGGCUCAACCCAUGAACUGCUUUCAAAACUGUUUUUCUUGAGUAGUGCAGAGGUAGGCGGAAUUCCCGGUGUAGCGGUGGAAUGCGUAGAUAUCGGGAGGAACACCAGUGGCGAAGGCGGCCUACUGGGCAUCAACUGACGCUGAGGCUCGAAAGUGUGGGUAGCAAACAGGAUUAGAUACCCUGGUAGUCCACACUGUAAACGAUGAUUACUAGGUGUUGGAGGAUUGACCCCUUCAGUGCCGCAGUUAACACAAUAAGUAAUCCACCUGGGGAGUACGACCGCAAGA
rnacentral:rRNA from 1 species